UCUGAAAAUUGUAUUGUUCCAAGACCUUCAG
rnacentral:piRNA from 1 species